rnacentral:rRNA from 1 species
AAGCUUAACACAUGCAAGUCGAACGGAUUGUCUUUGUAGCUUGCUACGAAGAUAAUUAGUGGCAGACGGGUGAGUAAUGCAUAGGAAUCUACCUAGUAGUAUAGGAUAGCCACUAGAAAUGGUGGGUAAUACUGUAUAAUCCCUGCGGGGGAAAGAUUUAUCGCUACAUGAUGAGCCUAUGUUAGAUUAGCUAGUUGGUAGGGUAAAGGCCUACCAAGGCGAUGAUCUAUAGCUGGUCUGAGAGGAUGAUCAGCCACACUGGAACUGAGAUAC